rnacentral:rRNA from 1 species
UACAGAGGGUGCAAGCGUUAAUCGGAAUUACUGGGCGUAAAGCGAGCGUAGUCGGUUAUCUAAGUCGGAUGUGAAAUCCCCAGGCUUAACUUGGGAACUGCAUCCGAUACUGGAUGGCUUGAAUCCGGGAGAGGGAUGCGGAAUUCCAGGUGUAGCGGUGAAAUGCGUAGAUAUCUGGAGGAACACCGGUGGCGAAGGCGGCAUCCUGGACCGGCAUUGACGCUGAUGAGCGAAAGCCAGGGGAGCAAACGGG